AUGGCAGACCAGAGGGCUUUUGCCUGGGUCAAGGGCAUGGCCCGCCUAGUUGAGAGCAGGGCUCUGAGGAGCCUGGCUAAGGUUGACCACUAUGCCAUCAUCAAGUUCCCCCUCACCACUGAGUCAGCCGUGAAGAAAAUAGAAGACAACAACACAGUGGUGUUCAUUGUGGAUGUCAAGGCCAACAAGCACCAAAUUAAACAGGCUGUGAAGAAGCCCUAUGAUAUUGACCUGGCUAAGGUCAACACCCUGAUCAGGCCUGAUGGAGAGAAGAAGGAAUAUGUUCGACUGGCUCCUGACUAUGACGCUUUGGAUGUUGCCAACAAAAUUGGGAUCAUCUAAACUGAGUCCAGCUGGCCAAUUCUAAAUAUAAAAGGU